AGAAGAACAAAUAUUCUGGUGUCA
rnacentral:siRNA from 1 species